GCCCACUACUCCCAAAAGAUUUCUGCAAUACGCUACAUAUGUGAAACUUCCUUAUCCAUUCUGAUUCUCCACUCUAUAAACUGUUUUUAUGAAGAGGCACACAACCAAUAAAAAGUUUUGUGCAUGAAAACCCAAUAUCUACGGUCCACUACUCCAAAAAGAUUUCUGCAAUGUUACACUUCAAACUUCCGCCUUAUCCAUUAUGAUUUUCCGCUCCAUGAACUGUUUUUAUGAAGAGGCACACAACCAAUAAAAAGGUUUGUGCAUGAAAACCCAAUAUCUACUGUCCAUUGUUCCCAAGAGGUUUUUGCAAUGUUACACUUCAAACUUCCGCCUUAUCCAUUAUGAUUCUCCACUCCAUGAACUGUUUUUAUGAAGAGGGACACAACCAAUAAAAAGGUUUGUGCAAUACGUUACACUUCAAACUUCCACCUUAUCCAUUAUGAUUCUCCGCUCCAUGAACUGUUUUUAUGAAGAGGCACACAACCAAUAAAAAGGUUUGUGCAUGAAAACCCAAUAUCUACUGUCCACUGUUCCCAAGAGAUUUCUGCAAUGUUACACUUCAAACUUCCGCCUUAUCCAUUAUGAUUCUCCGCUCCAUGAACUGUUUUUAUGAAGAGGCACACAACCAAUCAAAAGGUUCACUACUCCAAAAAGAUUUCUGCAAUAUGCUACAUAUGUGAAACUUCCUCCUUCAGUAUUGGAUUCUCCACUCCAUGAACUGUUUUUAUGAAGAGGCACACAACCAAUACAACGUGAAUACAAAAUCAUUGUUCAAGUAUCUUCAGAAAAUGUCCCGGCAAAACUCUAAACUGAUGCAGGCGGUCAAUAGUCAAACAUAUCACAAAUGCAUAACCACAAAAGUAACAAUUCUAUAUGAAAUGUUGGAUGGAUGGCUUGUAUUAUAUUUGGCCUAUGUACAGCAAACUUGGAUGCCAGCCAAAGGAGGAUGGCUUGCCCCUGCUGAGUCUGGUUCCUCCCAAGGUUUCUCCCUAUACCUCUCUGCUGAUGAUCCUCUUCACUAAUUUAGGGAGUUUUUCCUUGCCACUGUUGCCUUCUGGCUUGCUCACUGGGGUUUUAAGGCACAAUAUUUUCAAUGUAAAUUGUUUGUAAAGAACAAUAAAUACAUGAUGACUUAAAAUAUACUUUUGUCCUUGCUUUCAUGUAGUCUAUCAAUGUCCUUUUUUUUUGUUUACUGAUCUACAUUAGAUGUUUUAAGUAGAAUUUGUUUAUAUAUAUAUAUAUAUAUUUUUUUUAAAUUGACAUCUCUGAGCACAAUUCAUAUCACACUAUGUUACAUAGAGGAUACAUGAUAAUGGAUAAAAUGAUAUAGUAGUCAUUUUUUUGCAUUCAGGUUAUUUCAUUGUACUAUUAAACCUGGAAUUGAAAGAAACCGGAAUUGGAGAAAAAAGUUAAAGUGAUUUAUAUUUAGUGUACACAACAGAAGUAUUCAUGUUGUAAGGUUUAAUUGAUGAUCCCAUUUAAGUAUCUUGAGAAAAGACUGAAAGCUUGACAAAAUUCGGUUUUAUUUUUUUUAUUUUUUUUAUUCUCAAUGAAACCAACAAACAUAAAAUGCUUUCCUAUUGUAUAAAAUGGCAGGAGUUGACCCCCUAAGUGCACAUUAUUUUUGUUCAUAGCUGUCAAUUUAACAAGUAUAAAACUUAGUUGAAAUGUUGCAAAGAUGUCCUUGUAUUGUUGAUCAGAUGUUCUAUUAUGUCACCCCACAGAAGAAUUUAAACCCUUGACCUCAUCUGUGAGAACACAAUUCUUCUCAUACAGUGAAACAUAUGGCACACAGUUACUAUAAUGUUGAAGAUAUGUUUUUAUAUAAAAAGGAACACCGAUGAAGCAUAAACUUGCAUGCUAAAAAAAUAAUGUUUUUGAAGUGUGAAAUCCAACAUCUGGAACAAACACAAUAUUGACCACCCUGGAUUUGAAGCCCCAACCUUAGAGGGUUGAAACCAGCAGCUUAGAAGAGUGCACCACUCAGUCAAUGCACAUCAUAGCAUACUGUAUAAGAGAGGUUAAGGUGUGAGAAUGAUCUCAAAACUUCAAAAUCAAACAGAGAUUCCGAUGAGAAAGUCCAAGAAAAUAUUCUUGAUUCAACACACAGAAAAUCCAAUGUCUUGAACAGAAGCAACUUUGACCACCCUGGAUUCGAACCCACAACCUCUUGGGUUUGGGACCAGUGCCUUAGCAGAGUGCGCCACAUUAGUUGACACACAGUUUACAUGGCACAGAAGAGAGGUUAAGGUGUGAGAAUUAACUCUCAAAAGCCUGAAGUAACAUUUUAGCUAGAUUAGCAUGCUACGCUAAAAAAUGCUAACGUUGCUCAAAGUUAACCAGAUAGCUCAGGAGACCCAUUAGAGUCAAUAGAAACGUGUUAGCAUUUUAGCUAAUUAGCAUGCUAAGCUAACUAGCAUAAAUCAACAAGCACAGGCACGGUCAACUUCGGAGCUGUACCUGUCGGGAACGGGAGUGAAUAUCAAAAAUCUGUUCAGUCAUUUCUGUCAGGCCCGGUCUGAAGUUCAUCUGAUAAAAUUUUGAACAAAAUUGAACAAGAUUUCAGGGAGGAGUAGCGAAAAAACUGUAUUUAAAUCCAUUCAAUAUGGCGGACAGACGCCAUAUUGGAAAAUGGCAAAUGAGACAUCAUCUGAUUUGGCAUAACCCACGGAAUCAAAUGACAUAAAAAUAUCAAAAAUCGAUCAACAUUUACAGUAGUUAUAAGGGGUUUUGCAAGAAUCGUUAUAUCUCUUGAACACUAGGUGGCGCUGUCUUCUAACUUCCGGGGUACCUCAGGCACAUGGUGUUGAUGAUGCCUAUCGAUUUUUGUGAAGAUAUGUACAAUAGAUCAAAAGAUAUAGCAAUUUAUGACAAAAUUCAAAAUGGCGGACGGGUGGUCCUGGUGGUCUCGACAAAAUUGACAUCCACAGAUCCGGAAUGAUCUAAAGAAUCCAUAGACAUCAAGAAAAUAAUUUUCUGAUCAAUUGUUCAGAAGUUAUAAGCAAAAAAGUGCAUUUUUGGUAUCUCGACACCCAUAGGUGGCGCUGUUCCCAAAUUUGGCGUGGACCCCCAGAUCAUGGUGUAGAUGAAGUGUACCAAGUUUGGUAUCGAUUGAUCAAAGUUUGGCCGAGAUACAGCAUCUCAACCGAUUUUAGGUCAGCCUCAUUAAGUUCACAAUUGAAUAACUUUUGAACAAAAACGAAAAUCAAAAAUCUGUUCAGUCAUUUCUGUGCGGCUCAGUCCAAAGAUCAUCUGAGACAAAUUUCAGAAGAAUUGGACCAAUUUUGAAGGAGGAGUAGUGUUUAGACUGAUUACUGUACUUUUCAAAAUGGCCGCUACUGUAAUGGGCGGAGUCUUAAUGUAAGGUAUGGAAUGGAAUCUCCAUGAAAAGACAAAAUAGAUGUACUAAGUUUUAUUUUCAUAGAAUUACUGGUUCAAGAGUUAUUAACGUUUGAAUGUUGAAUUUUUGAACUGGUGGUGGCGCUGUAGAGUUGGUCCUAGAGACCCCAAAGUUGGUCAGAUCACUAAUAAUGGUCAUCUCUACAAGUGUACCAAAUUUCAUCAUUUUCCCAUGUUCCCUUCAUAGGGCUGCCAUAGACCCAAUGGGACGAAAAGCAGAAUAAUAAUAAUAAUAAUAAUAAUAAAACAUACAGAUACAAUAGGGGCUACAGCCCUCUGGGCUUGGCCCCUAAAUAUAGCUGCAAGCAGCAAUCCCGGGGCCAAGCCCUGAAGGGCUGUAGCCAGAGCAACGAGCGGGACGAAGCAAAACGGCCAAAAUGGAACUCACAUCGGAUCGACGUUACCCACCCCGGAUUCGAUCCCACGACCUCUCGGGUUUGGGACGAGUGCCUUAGCUAAGUGCGCCACAUUAGUUGACACACUGUUUGCAUGGCACAGAAGAGAGGUUAAGGUGUGAGGAUGAGUUCACUAAAGAAAGUUGCCUAGCAUUUUAAGGUAGUUUAGUCAAUCCUGGCAAAAUUUACAUCCAUAGAUUCGGCAUUACCCGAGGAAUAGAAAGAAACCAAGAUCAUGUUUUUGCAACUAAUUGUUCAAAAGCUAUAAGCAGACAUGUGAAUUUUUGGUAUCUCACGACCCAUAGGUGGCGCUGUUUCCAACUUUGGGAUAUAUUCUCAGUUCAUAGUGUUGAUGAAGUGUAGCAAGUUUUGUGGCGAUUGAUCAAAGUACGGCCGAGAUACAGCUUCUCGAACAAUUUCGAUUCAAUAGUGUUAACUUCAGAGCAUCAUAACUCUUUUUUUGACCAGUAGGUCGAAAAAUUCUAUUCAGUCAUUUCCGUGCGGCUCGGUCCAAAGAUCGUCUGAGGAAAUUUUGAGAAGAAUUGGGCCACAUUUGAAGGAGGAGUAGCGAAAAAAGGGAAUACUGUACUUUUCUAAAUGGCCAUCACUGUAAUGGCAGGAAUUUUAAUGUAAACUAUUAAAUGUGAUCAGCGUGAAGAGAGGAAUGAGAUGUACUAAGUUUUAUGUUGAUAGAAGAAGGUGUUCAAAAGUUAUAAGGAGAAAUGUGCAUUUAUGCUAUCUCAUGACCCAUAGGUGGCGCUGUCCCCGAAUUCGGCAUGUACCCUCAGAUCAUGGUGUUUAUGCAGUGUAUCAAGUUUAAUUUCGAUUGAUCAAUGUUUGGCCGAGAUACAGCCUCUUAACCAAUUUUGGGUGGACCUCGUUAUGUUCACAAUUUAAUAACUUUUGAACAAAAACGAAUAUCAAAAAUCUGUUCAGUCAUUUCUGUGCGGCUCGGUCCGAAGAUCGUCUGUGGCAAAUUUCAGAAAAAUCAAACCACUUUUGAAGGAGGAGUAGUGUUUAAACAGAAACAUUUAAUUAGCUUAAUAGCAAUUACUGUAAUGGGUGGAGACUUAAUGUAAGGUAUAGAGUGUAAUCUCCAUGAAGAGAGUAAUCAUGUGUACUAAGUCCUAUCUGGAUAGACCAAAGGGUUCAUGAGUUAUUAAAGUUUAAAAACUGAAUUUUUGAACUGGUGGUGGCGCUGUAGAGUUGGUCUUAGAGACUCCAAAGUUGGUCAGAUCACUAUUGGUGACCAUCUCUAGAAGUGUGCCAAAUUUCAUCAUUUUCCCAUGUUCCCUUCAUAGGGCUAGCAUAGUGAUCGAUUGUUUUUGCUCGAAAAUUCUACCAAAAACAAUCGCUAAUAUAGCUGCAAGCAGCGAUACCGGGGCCAAGCCCUGAAGGGCUGUAGCCAGAGCAACGAGCGGGACGAAGCAAAACGGCCAAAACGGAACUUCCAUUGGACCGACGUUACCCACCCCGGAUUCGAUCCCACGACCUCUCGGGUUUGGGACCGGUGCCUUAGCGAAGUGCGCCACAUUAGUUGACACACAGUUCGCAUGGCACAGAAGAGAGGUUAAGGUGUGAGAAUGAGGUCACUGAAGAAAGUUGCUUAGCAAUUUAAGCAGCAUGAUAUGGAAAGUUGAGUAAAUUGUAAUUCAGACUUCUGAGAUAUGUCCAGAACAUGGUUUUAAUAAUCCCUACCGAUUAUAGUAGAAAUCUUUCCAUGGGUUGAAAAGAUAUAGAAACUUAGGACACAAUUCUUAAUGUCAGGCAGUUAGUUUAGUUAAUCCUGGCAAAAUUUACAUCCAUGGAUUCGGCAUGUUUCGAGGAAUAGACUGACGACAAGAUCAUGAUUUUCCAAUUAAUUGUUCAAAAGUUAUAAGCAGAAAUGUGAGUCUCUGGUAUCUCACGACCCAUAGGUGGCACUGUUCCCAACUUUGGGAUAUAUUCUCAGUUCAUAGUGUUGAUGAACUGUAGCGAGUUUUGUGGCAAUUGAUCAAAGUACGGCCGAGAUAUAGCCUCUCAUACAAUUUCGAUUGAACACUAUUAACUUCAGAGCAUCAUAACUCUUUUUUUGACCAGUAGG